rnacentral:rRNA from 1 species
AUCUACAGCCAUGCUACCCUGAACAAGCCCGAUCCUGUCUGAUUUCGGAAGCUAAGCAGGGUCGGGCCUGGUUAGUACUUGGAUGGGAGACCACCUAGGAAGACCAGGUGCUGUAGGUG